rnacentral:ncRNA from 1 species
CUUCUUAAAUUUAAGCAUAUUAUUAAGUAGAGGAGAAGAAACUAACUAGGAUUUUCUUAGUAACAAUGAACAAACUUCAAAGAAUCCAACUUAAAAAUUGAGGUGCUUUACAAAUUAUAGUCUAGAAAAGCACCUCAAUAGUCUAGAAAAGCAUCUUUUAUAGUGUGCCGAUCUCAAAUUUUUUAAAAAUGGGAUGUCUAAGAGGACGACAAUCCUAUUAAGGUUGAUUUUUUGUUGAUCUACUACAUCCAAUUUAUAAGUUACGUUAUUUAGAAAUAUAGUCCAAAAUAGGAGGUAAAUUUUUUCUAAGGCUAAAUAUUUAAAAAAGAUUAAUAGCAAAUAAGUACUUUGAAG